CGUGUGUGAAGGAGUGAAGGGAGGGGAGGCAGCUCAGACCUCCUGAGAAUGGGAAAUGCCAUUUUGUCUUCCCUUUUACAUUUUUGUGUGUGUGCCAUGAGAGAGCUUGAGAGAGAGAGCAGGAGAGAGAGAGAGAAGCAGAAAAAGCAAGAGGGAGAGGGAAAGAUUUGAAAACGCAAGAACACAGGACCCUGGAGACCAUCUGUGGGACCGCAGCCCUUUGUGUCAGGGGAGCAGGUGCUCCAUUUUACACCCGUGUGUCAGGAAUGGGGGACAUCCCAACCCCCACCGCGGCGAGUUUCCUUACACCACAUUCAGGCAGUUUCAUGGCCAACUGGUGUGUGUGCAGCUUGCUGUCCAUCUCAGAAGAGCUACACCCCUCCCUCUGCUCCAGAAAAGGAAAGUGCUCCAGGCUGUCUUCUCCCCUCGCUGCCCUAGACUUGCCCAGCCAGUGAUGACUGCCCCAGGUGUCUGUUCCAGUCCUGCAAGAGCUCCAGGCUUUCCCAGGCUGCACCACCUGCUUAGGUCAUGGGGCUGGGAAGGGGCAGCACAUGGCCUCUGAGGAAGGCCAGCUGUCUCUAGGAUCUGUGCUCUUACCCACUGUGCUUUUUUGGCUCUGCAGAGGCGAGACCUGGCGGGAGGAGAGGAAGAAGCAGAGACUGGAGCCUUUCCUGCCACUGAGCCCUCUUCCUGGGACGUCGCUCCGGACAUGUAGGCAAUUUGAAACCUCACUUUUCCAAAAUGGCGUGGGUGGGCAGUCUGGUGGCCUGGGAUAGUUGGAGGUGUCUACACAGCCCUAAUGGAAAUGCCUUGGUGUCUCCAAAGGCCUGUGCAGGUAACUGGGUUUCAUAAAAUAUUUGUCAGUCUCAGACAAAAAGUCUUUGCAAAAUUAGGCUGACUGCUGCGUAUCUAUGCCGGGUUAACAGGGAUGUGGCGUGGCUCAGUGAAUUUUGCUGGUUCUGGGUUCCCUGCUCCCUGCAGUCUGAGUUUUCAUCCCGCAGCACCAUCUGAGAAUCAGGAAGCAGAGACGGCACGAAGCUGGCUGUGAUAGCAGGACACAGUAGACACAGGGCUUGGAUCCUCAGUAUAAUGUUUCCUCCUUCUCCAUGGUAAAGAUGAUGUGUCUUGCAGACCAAGAUGUUUGAGUUGCAGUGAGAAAUGGAUACUCCAGGGCAGGUGUGGGAAGGACACUGCCCCACCCACCCAGACAUGGGAAGGGCACCUCUGAUGGAAGGCAAACAGGUGAAGAGAGAGAUGGGGGCCCCUCUGUGAAUAGAUGGAAGAACAGCUGGGAGGAGAAAGGUUUGCCCAGAGGAAGAUGAUGGUUGCUGAUGGGCUCUGAUUGGCCAGUUUUCCUCCGAUGCUUCUUACAUCCUCUCCAGGUUCCUAAAGUAAUCUCACAACCUUCCAUGUGGAAUGACAGGACAUUUCCAUGAUGAUGGCUGUAAUUCUUGAUCCUCACCACCCUGCAAUUGAUUUGCUGAAGCCGCUGACAUACCCCUGUGAUGCAGGAUGCCUGUAGAAGCUAUCUCAGAGCUGCCAAGCAGUUGCUGUAGGGUUCAAGUCAGCCAGCUCAAGCUCCUGUCCUCAAAACCAUCCCGAUUCCAAAUCUUGUCAAUAAAGGACAGUUGCCUUUUGUGGUCAAUUAUAUGAGCCCUCAUUGCUUUGGUUCUCUCUACCAAUGAUGGUCUCUGAAGAUGGGAAGGGCUAAGACUACAUGACUCAGGACAAGUAACUUCCUCCCUUGACCAAAAUGGGGCCAUAUGAACUAACAACUCAGUGUUUUCAAGAAAUCAACUGGAAAGAAUGUCAGGAAUCCAGCAAUGUUUGGUCACCAAACUACAUACCCGGCUUCUUCCAACUCUAAGCAAAACGUAGGAUUGAUGAAGUGAAACAUAUGACCUAUGCCAGUAAUUGUGAAGGCAUUAAAGAUGCUCCAUUCCAGGCAAAACAACAUCUUUAUGGUCUUUGAUAUUGAUUAGGGACCCCCCAACUUUUAACAUUAUAGCCUGUGAGAUUUCUCUUUGGAAAUAACGACAAAGACUUACAAAGCAAAUGAAGGUCAAAAUACUGUGUAGUAGUUUGGUGGAUUGUUGUAAUCACAAUGCCCAGUGAAUCCCGUGUCCCUGUUAACAAACCCUUUUGUGAUGGGACUUUCUCUCCUCAACUUCAGGGGUUGAAUUUAUUUCCCCACGCGGUGAUCUUGGGCUGAGCUGUAACUUGUUUCUAUCAAUAGGAUGUUUCAGGUGUGACAUUGCCCACUUUCCUAGGCUAACCCUUAAGGUGCUUUGCAGUUUCUGCCUUUGCUCUUUUGGAACCUUGAGCUCACCAUACUCUGAAGAACUCAGGAAUAAACGACCAAGUGGCUGGAGAGGCCCAGCUAACCUAAGGAUUUCUGCCAUUCUAGCUGGGACCUGGUCCAUCAGAGAGAGCACAUUAGAUCAUCUCAGCUCAGCUGACUGCAGUCACAUGAGGGAGGCCUGAUUGUGGUUUGGCAAGAAAUGACCUGAUAGAUGCUGGACUCUGCUAAAGGUGGACCUGCUCCAAGUGUUUCAUCAUGUUACUGAGACCAAGAGGAAGAUUAUCCCUGAGCUAACAUCCAUGCCCAUCUCCCUCUACUUUAUAUGUGGGUUGCCUGCCACAGAAUGGCUUGAAGAUCCAGUCCUGAGGGUGAGAGGACCAUUAGCUUGCAAGAGAGCACAACUGUGAACUGCUGACUGCUUAAAGAGGAGGAGGAGGGAGCAAAAGAUAUGAAGAAGGUGGGCCUCAUCCAAUCAGAUGAAGAUCAUAAAAGAAAAAGACUGAUCUCCCAAGAAGAGAGAAUUCUGCCAGCAGACUACUUUUGGACUUGAAGUGUUAUUCGUCCCUGGGGUCCAGGCUGCUGGCCAACCCUGCAGACUUUGGACUUUCCAGGACUCCACAAUCACAUGAACCAAUUCCUUAAAAUCAAUCUUUCUCUCUCUCUCUCAUGUAUAUAUUAUAUUCUAGUCUCUCUCUUUUUCUCUCUCUCACUGUGGCCUAUUGUUUCUCUUUCUCUGGAGAACCCUGACUAAUACAGUGCUCCAGACUCAAGAAAUUAGCAGACCUGGGAACUGGUUGCCCAGUUGUAAUGACUGAUUUCUCAUCUUGCUCGCCACAUCUUCCUUGCUGAUAAACAAGCUUUGGAUCUGGUUUCUUUCAAGGACAUUAGUGUAUGCCCAUG
ensembl:lncRNA